GCGAGCUGAUCCAGCCAUGCCGCGUGAAUGAUGAAGGCCUUAGGGUUGUAAAAUUCUUUCAGCAGGGAAGAUAAUGACGGUACCUGCAGAAGAAGCCCCGGCUAACUCCGUGCCAGCAGCCGCGGUAAUACGGAGGGGGCUAGCGUUGUUCGGAAUUACUGGGCGUAAAGCGCUCGUAGGCGGAUUGGUCAGUCAGGGGUGAAAGCCCGGAGCUCAACUCCGGAACUGCCUUUGAUACUGCCAGUCUUGAGUUCGGGAGAGGUGAGCGGAAUACCGAGUGUAGAGGUGAAAUUCGUAGAUAUUCGGUGGAACACCAGAGGCGAAGGCGGCUCACUGGACCGAUACUGACGCUGAGGAGCGAAAGCGUGGGGAGCAAACAGGAUUAGAUACCCUGGUAGUCCACGCCGUAAACGAUGAGAGCUAGUUGUCUGGCAGCAUGCUGUUAGGUGACGCAGCUAACGCAUUAAGCUCUCCGCCUGGGGAGUACGGCCGCAAGGUUAAAACUCAAAUG
rnacentral:rRNA from 1 species